UACGUAGGGUGCGAGCGUUGUCCGGAAUUAUUGGGCGUAAAGAGCUUGUAGGCGGUUUGUCGCGUCUGCUGUGAAAUUUCGGGGCUCAACCCCGAACUUGCAGUGGGUACGGGCAGACUAGAGUGUGGUAGGGGAGACUGGAAUUCCUGGUGUAGCGGUGAAAUGCGUAGAUAUCGGGAGGAACACCAGUGGCGAAGGCGAUCACCUGGGGUUGUUCUGACGCUGAGGAGCGAAAGCUAGGGGAGCAAACGGG
rnacentral:rRNA from 1 species